GACGAACGCUGGCGGCGUGCUUAACACAUGCAAGUCGAACGGAAAGGCCCCUUCGGGGGUACUCGAGUGGCGAACAGGUGAGUAACACGUGAGUAACCUGCCCUUGACUUCGGGAUAACUUCAGGAAACUGGGGCUAAUACCGGAUAGGAAUCCUUGCUGCAUGGUGGGGGUUGGAAAGCUUCGGCGGUUUUGGAUGGACUCGCGGCUAUCAGCUUGUUGGUGGGGUAGUGGCUUACCAAGGCUUUGACGGGUAGCCGGCCUGAGAGGGCGACCGGCCACAUUGGGACUGAGAUGCGGCCCAGACUCCUACGGGAGGCAGCAGUGGGGAAUAUUGCACAAUGGGCGGAAGCCUGAUGCAGCAACGCCGCGUGCGGGAUGACGGCCUUCGGGUUGUAAACCGCUUUCAGCAGGGGCGAAGCUUGUGGUGACGGUACCUGCAGAAGAAGCACCGGCUAACUACGUG
rnacentral:rRNA from 1 species